rnacentral:rRNA from 1 species
AGAGUUUGAUCCUGGCUCAGAACGAACGCUGGCGGCAGGCCUAACACAUGCAAGUCGAGCGCUCACUUCGGUGGGAGCGGCGGACGGGUUAGUAACGCGUGGGAACGUGCCCAGAUCUAAGGAAUAGCCACUGGAAACGGUGAGUAAUACCUUAUACGCCCUUCGGGGGAAAGAUUUAUCGGAUUUGGAUCGGCCCGCGUUAGAUUAGAUAGUUGGUGGGGUAAUGGCCUACCAAGUCUACGAUCUAUAGCUGGUUUUAGAGGAUGAUCAGCAACACUGGGACUGAGACACGGCCCAGACUCCUACGGGAGGCAGCAGUGGGGAAUCUUGGACAAUGGGCGCAAGCCUGAUCCAGCCAUGCCGCGUGAGUGAUGAAGGCCUUAGGGUCGUAAAGCUCUUUCGCCAGAGAUGAUAAUGACAGUAUCUGGUAAAGAAACCCCGG